CUGUUUCAAAAACAGUGGUUACUUGUUUAGAUAUGGUGGAAAUUUUGUUCCUCUGGUAUGUGCCUGCACUCAUUCAAGAAUCUUCUUCCAGUGAUGAAGACUGAAAAUACUCCAGCCUUCAAGGACCAUGAACUGAAUCUGGUCAGAAAGACCUCAUUGGAUUGCAGUUGGUAGAAUUAUACCUUAUUCUCCCCAUUCAAAGAAAAGAAAAGAAAAGAAAAAGAAAAGAAAAUUAAAAAGAGAAAAAGGAGUCCCACCAAUAGCAGGAAUGGGCAAAGUGAUACUGGUGAGCCAUGUCUAGCCCGCCAGGACUCCUUGGACUCCAUAUAUAUCUUUCCAACCUAAAAUGAAAACAGUACAGUAUCCACAAAGGAACACA
rnacentral:lncRNA from 1 species